GACGAACGCUGGCGGCGUGCUUAACACAUGCAAGUCGAACGGAAAGGCCCUGCUUUUGUGGGGUGCUCGAGUGGCGAACGGGUGAGUAACACGUGAGUAACCUGCCCUUGACUUUGGGAUAACUUCAGGAAACUGGGGCUAAUACCGGAUAGGAGCUCCUGCUGCAUGGUGGGGGUUGGAAAGUUUCGGCGGUUGGGGAUGGACUCGCGGCUUAUCAGCUUGUUGGUGGGGUAGUGGCUUACCAAGGCUUUGACGGGUAGCCGGCCUGAGAGGGUGACCGGCCACAUUGGGACUGAGAUACGGCCCAGACGCCUACGGGAGGCAGCAGUCGGGAAUAUUGCACAAUGGGCGGAAGCCUGAUGCAGCAACGCCCCGUGCGGGAUGACGGCCUUCGGGUUGUAAACCGCUUUCGCCUGUGACGAAGCGUGAGUGACGGUAAUGGGUAAAGAAGCACCGGCUAACUACGUG
rnacentral:rRNA from 1 species